rnacentral:lncRNA from 1 species
AAAAAUCGACAAAUCGAUGAUUUUGAGAAAUUGAUGGGUUAAAUACUUGCUUUUUUUUCUCCGACAAAACGACGUUGUUUUGAUUAUUAAAAAAUUAAAAUAUAAAUAGACUUAUUCAAAACUCAUUUAAAAUUUUCUUUCCUUAAAAUUAAAUUUAUUAUACAAUGGAAUUAUUUUAUUAUAAAGUUUAUCUUACAGUUAGAGUUUGUUUAAAAUUUAUAUAGAUUUAUAUUUUAUACUAUUUUGUUUUGUUGUGUGUAAUGACUAUUUUUAGAAUU